GCAGUCGCAAGCAGGGCUGUCUGUCAUCCCGCACUUAUGCAGGUGAUCGGCUGGCUGUUCUUGGAUGGAG